rnacentral:rRNA from 1 species
AUUCCAGCUCCAAUAGCGUAUAUUAAAGUUGUUGCGGUUAAAAAGCUCGUAGUUGGAUUUCUGUUGAGGUUGGGCGGUCCGCACUACGUGCGAGUAUCUGCUUCGGCCUUGGCAUCCUCUCGGAAAACGCUACUGUGCUUGAUUGCAUGGUGCGGGGUUCGGGACUUUUACUUUGAGGAAAUUAGAGUGUUCACGGCAGGCAAUCGCCCUGAAUAUAUUAGCAUGGAAUAAUAAUAUAGGAUCUGAUGCCUAUUUUGUUGGUUUCUAGGCGUGAGAUAAUGAUUAAUAGGGACAAUUGGGGGGAUUCGUAUUAUGGCGUCAGAGGUGGAAUUCUUGGAUUGCCAUACGACGAACUACUGCGAAAGCAUUUCUCAGGGAUGUUUUCAUUG